rnacentral:rRNA from 1 species
CCUACGGGCGGCUGCAGUGGGUGAUAUUGCACAAUGGGGGAAACCCUGAUGCAGCAACGCCGCGUGUGGGAAGAAGGUUUUCGGAUUGUAAACCACUGUUCUUGGUGAAGAUAAUGACGGGAACCAAGGAGAAAGCUCCGGCUAACUACGUGCCAGCAGCCGCGGUAAUACGUAGGGAGCAAGCGUUGUCCGGAUUUACUGGGUGUAAAGGGUGCGUAGGCGGUCUUGCAAGUCAGACGUGAAAACCACAGGCUCAACCGCGCCCCGCAGUUGAAACUGGACGCAUUGAGUUCACAACAGGCAGGCGGAAUUCGUGGUGUAGCGGUGAAAUGCAUAGAUAUCACGAGGAACCCCGAUUGCGAAGGCAGCCUGCCGGGGUGCGACUGACGCUGAGGCUCGAAGGUGCGGGUAUCAAACAGGAUUAGAUACCCCGGUAGUC